GACGAACGCUGGCGGCGUGCUUAACACAUGCAAGUCGAACGGAAAGGCCCUUCGGGGUACUCGAGUGGCGAACGGGUGAGUAACACGUGGGUGAUCUGCCCUGCACUUUGGGAUAAGCCUGGGAAACUGGGUCUAAUACCGAAUAGGACCACGCGCUUCAUGGUGUGUGGUGGAAAGCUUUUGCGGUGUGGGAUGGGCCCGCGGCCUAUCAGCUUGUUGGUGGGGUAAUGGCCUACCAAGGCGACGACGGGUAGCCGGCCUGAGAGGGUGACCGGCCACACUGGGACUGAGAUACGGCCCAGACUCCUACGGGGGGCAGCAGUGGGGAAUAUUGCACAAUGGGCGCAAGCCUGAUGCAGCGACGCCGCGUGAGGGAUGACGGCCUUCGGGUUGUAAACCUCUUUCAAUAGGGACGAAGCGCAAGUGACGGUACCUAUAGAAGAAGCACCGGCCAACUACGUG
rnacentral:rRNA from 1 species